UGAGGAAUAUUGGUCAAUGGGCGAGAGCCUGAACCAGCCAAGUCGCGUGAAGGAAGACAGUCCUAAGGAUUGUAAACUUCUUUUAUACGGGAAUAACGGGCGAUACGAGUAUUGCAUUGAAUGUACCGUAAGUAUAAGCAUCGGCUAACUCCGUGCCAGCAGCCGCGGUACUACUGAGGAUGCGAGCGUUAUCCGGAUUUAUUGGGUUUAAAGGGUGCGUAGGUUGUUCGGUAAGUCAGCGGUGAAACCUGAGCGCUCAACGUUCAGCCUGCCGUUGAAACUGCCGGGCUUGAGUUCAGUGGCGGCAGGCGGAAUUCGUGGUGUAGCGGUGAAAUGCAUAGAUAUCACGAGGAACUCCGAUUGCGAAGGCAGCUUGCCAUAAUGCGACUGACACUGAAGCACGAAGGCGUGGGUAUCAAACAGG
rnacentral:rRNA from 1 species